rnacentral:tRNA from 1 species
GAGGGUAUAGCUCAGUGGUAGAGUGCAUGCCUAGCAUGCAUGAGGUCUGGGUUCAUACCCUGGUACCUCCA